CACUAAAGCCCAUGAGACUUGUAGUAUUUAAAAAUAUUUUCAUUUUUGAUGAGACGCUAAAUAAAACAAGUUUAAUCGCCAGCAAACGAAAACCUGCGAUUUCCCGUAAAUCCCGGACUCGGCCCGUAUAAUCAAAAGUAUACAAAGAAAGUACCCGGGGUGUAAACUCAUUUCCCGAACGAUUUUUUAAAUUAUUAUUUCACCACUAAAGCCCAUGAGACUUGUAGUUUUUAAAAAUGUUUUCAUUUUUGAUGAGACGCUGAAUAAAAGAGGUUUAAUCGCUGGCAAACGAAAUCCCGCGAUUUCCCGUAAAUCCGGGGCUUGGCCCGUAUAGUCGAAUGUAUACAAAGAAAGUACCCAGGAAGUAAACUCAUUUCCCGAACGAUUUUUUAAAUUAUUAUUUCACCACUAAAGCCCAUGAGACUUGUAGUAUUUAAAAAUAUUUUCAUUUUUGAUGAGACGCUGAAUAAAAGAAGUUUAAUCGCCGGCAAACAAAAACCCGCGACUUCCCUUAAAUCCCGGACUCGGCCCGUAUAUCAAAAGUAUACAAAGAAAGUACCCAGGGAGUAAAAUCAUUUCCCACACGAUUUUUUAAAUUAUUAUUUCACCACUAAAGCCCAUGAGACUUGUAGUUUUCAAAGAUGUUUUCAUUUUUGAUGAGACGCUGAAUAAAAGAAGUUUAAUCGCCGCAAACGAAAACCUGCGAUUUUCCGUAAAUCCCGGCAUCGGCCCGUAUAGUCAAAAGUAUACAAAGAAAGUACCCGGGGUGUAAAUUCAUUUCCCGAACGAUUUUUUAAAUUAUUAUUUCACCACUAAAGCCCAUGGGACUUGUAGUAUGUAAAAAUAUUUUCAUUUUUGAUGAGACGCUAAAUAAAAGAAGUUUAAUCGCCGGCAAACGAAAACCUGCGAUUUCCCGUAAAUCCCUGACUCGGCCCGUAUAGUCAAAAGUAUACAAAGAAAGUACCCGGGGUGUAAACUCAUUUCCCGAACGAUUUUUUAAAUUAUUAUUUCACCACUAAAGCCCAUGAGACUUGUAGUAUUUAAAAAUAUUUUCAUUUUUGAUGAGACGCUAAAUAAAACAAGUUUAAUCGCCAGCAAACGAAAACCUGCGAUUUCCCGUAAAUCCCGGACUCGGCCCGUAUAAUCAAAAGUAUACAAAGAAAGUACCCGGGGUGUAAACUCAUUUCCCGAACGAUUUUUUAAAUUAUUAUUUCACCACUAAAGCCCAUGAGACUUGUAGUUUUUAAAAAUGUUUUCAUUUUUGAUGAGACGCUGAAUAAAAGAGGUUUAAUCGCUGGCAAACGAAAUCCCGCGAUUUCCCGUAAAUCCGGGGCUUGGCCCGUAUAGUCGAAUGUAUACAAAGAAAGUACCCAGGAAGUAAACACAUUUCCCGAACGAUUUUUUAAAUUAUUAUUUCACCACUAAAGCCCAUGAGACUUGUAGUAUUUAAAAAUAUUUUCAUUUUUGAUGAGACGCUGAAUAAAAGAAGUUUAAUCGCCGGCAAACAAAAACCCGCGACUUCCCUUAAAUCCCGGACUCGGCCCGUAUAGUCAAAAGUAUACAAGGAAAGUACCCAGUGAGUAAACUCAUUUCCCGAACGAAUUUUUAAAUUAUUUUUUCACCACUAUAACCCAUGAGACUUGUAGUUUUCAGAAAUGUUUUCAUUUUUGAUGAGACGCUUAAUGAAAGUGGUUUAAUUGCCGGCAAACGAAAACCCGCGAUUUCCCGUAAAUCCCGGGCUUGGCCCGUAUAGUCGAAUGUAUACAAAGAAAGUACCCUGUGAGUAAACUCAUUUCCAAAACGAUUUUUUAAAUUAUCUUUUCACCACUAAAACGCUUGAGACUUGUAGUUUUCAAAAAUGUUUUCAUUUUUGGUGAGACGCUAAAUAAAAGAAGUUUAAUCGCCGACAAACGAAAACCCGCCAUUUCCCGUAAACCCCGGACUCGGUCCGCAUAGUCAAAAGUAUACAAAGAAAGUACCCAGUGAGUAAACUCAUUUCCCGAACGAUUUUUUAAAUUAUUAUUUCACCACUAAAGCCCAUGUGACUUGUAGUAUUUAAAAAUAUUUUCAUUUUUGAUGAAACGCUGAAUAAAAGAAGUUUAAUCGCCGGCAAACAAAAACCCGCGACUUCCCGUAAAUCCCGGACUCGAACCGUAUAGUCAAAAGUAUACAAAGAAAGUACCCAGGGAGUAAACUCAUUUCCCGAACGAUUUUUUAAAUUAUUUUUUCACCACUAAAACGCAUGAUACUUGUAGUUUUCAAAGAUGUUUUCAUUUUUGAUGAGACGCUGAAUAAAAGAAAUUUAAUCGCCGCAAACGAAAACCUGCGAUUUCCCGUAAAUCCCGUACUCGGCCCGUAUAGUCAAAAGUAUACAAAGAAAGUACCCGGGGUGUAAACUCAUUUCUCGAACGAUUUUUUAAAUUAUUAUUUCACCACUAAAACCCAGGAGACUUGUAGUAUUUAAAAAUAUUUUCAUUUUUGAUGAGACGCUAAAAAAACGAAAACCUGCGAUUUCCCGUAAAUCCCCGACUCGGCCCGUAUAGUCAAAAGUACACAAAGAAAGUACCCGGGGUGUAAACUCAUUUCCCGAACGAUUUUUUAAAUUAUUUUUUCACCACUAAAACGCAUGAGACGUGUAGUUUUCAAAAAUGUUUUCAUUUUUGAUGAGACGAUGAAUAAAAGAAGUUUAAUCGCCGGCAAACGAAAACCUGCGAUUUCCCGUAAAUCCCGUACUCGGCCCGUAUAGUCAAAAGUAUACAAAGAAAGUACCCAGGGAGUAAACUCAUUUCCCACACGAUUUUUUAAAUUAUUAUUUCACCACUAAAGCCCAUGAGACUUGUAGUUUUUAAAAAUGUUUUCAUUUUUGAUGAGACGCUGAAUAAAAGAAGUUUAAUCGCCGGCAAACGAAAACCCGCAAUUUCCCGUAAAUCCCGGUCUCGGCCUGUAUAGUCAAAAGUAUACAAGGAAAGUACCCAGUGAGUAAACUCAUUUCCCUAACGAAUUUUUAAAUUAUUUUUUCACCACUAAAACGCAUGAGACUUGUAGUUUUCAUUUUUGAUGAGACGGUGAAUAAAAGAAGUUUAAUCGCCGGCAAACGAAAACCUGCGAUUUCCCGUAAAUCCCGGACUCGGCCCGUAUAGUCAAAAGUAUACAAAGAGAGUACCCAAGGUGUAAACUCAUUUCCCGAACGAUUUUUUAAAUUAUUUUUUCACCACUAAAACGCAUGAGACUUGUAGUUUUCAAAAAUG